CGUUAUUUCUAUAUGAGCGCGAGCGGCGGGAGCUUGGGUCUUUUUACCGCCAGUCGCGCGGCACCUCGUCCUCGCUCCUGAGUCACUGCGAGCCCCGGUUCGGCGCAGGCUUUCUGCGGUCUGAGAACAUGGCAGACAUUGACAACAAAGAACAGGCUGAACUUGACCAACAGGAUAUGGAAGAUGUUGAAGAGGUGGAAGAAGAAGAAACUGGCGAGGAUGCGAACAGUAAAGCUCGGCAGCUGACUGUGCAGAUGAUGCAAAAUCCUCAGAUUCUUGCAGCCCUUCAGGAAAGACUCGAUGGUCUGGUAGGAACAUCUACAGGAUAUAUAGAAAGCUUGCCUAAGGUAGUUAAGAGACGGGUGAAUGCCCUCAAGAACCUUCAAGUUAAGUGUGCACAGAUAGAAGCAAAGUUCUACGAGGAAGUUCAUGAGCUGGAAAGAAAGUAUGCUGCUCUCUAUCAACCUUUGUUUGAUAAGCGAAGUGAAAUCAUCAAUGCGAUUUAUGAACCUACAGAAGAAGAAUGUGAAUGGAAAGCAGAUGCUGAAGAAGAAAUUUCAGAGGAAAUGAAAGAGAAGGCCAAGCUUGAAGAGGAGAAAAAAGAUGAAGAAAAAGAAGACCCUAAAGGAAUUCCUGAGUUUUGGCUGACAGUAUUUAAGAAUGUGGACUUGCUUAGUGAUAUGGUUCAGGAACAUGAUGAACCUAUCCUGAAACACUUAAAAGAUAUUAAAGUGAAGUUCUCAGAAGCCAGUCAGCCUAUGAGUUUCACGUUAGAAUUUCACUUUGAAUCAAAUGACUUCUUCACAAAUGAAGUGUUGACAAAGUCAUACAGAAUGAGAUCAGAGCCAGAUGAUUCUGAUCCCUUCUCCUUUGAUGGACCAGAAAUUAUGGGUUGUACAGGGUGCCAAAUAGACUGGAAAAAAGGAAAAAAUGUUACUUUGAAAACCAUCAAAAAGAAGCAGAAACACAAGGGACGAGGGACAGUUAGAACAGUGACAAAAACUGUCUCCAAUGAUUCUUUCUUCAAUUUCUUUAGUCCCCCUGAAGUUCCUGAAAGUGGAGACCUGGAUGAUGACGCUGAAGCAAUCCUUGCUGCAGAUUUUGAAAUUGGCCACUUUUUACGUGAGCGUAUAGUCCCACGAUCAGUAUUGUACUUUACAGGGGAAGCUAUUGAAGAUGAUGAUGAUGAUUAUGAUGAAGAAGGUGAGGAGGCAGAUGAUGAGGAAGGGGAGGAAGAAGCAGAUGAAGAAAAUGAUCCAGAUUAUGACCCGAAGGAUAUACCACCCUACUGUAGUUAGAAGUUCUGUGUUGCUGCCAAUGGCUAGUGCAGACCCCACCCAAAGGCAAAACUGAGAAGGAUCAAAACCCAGCAGAAUGCAAGCAGCAGUGAAGCAGUGUGUAUGUGGCCUUGAGGAUUACCUGCACUGUAAUAGCCUAAACACAACUAUUAGUUACUUACAGCCUUAUGUUUUGUAUCUUCUUGGUAGAAUUAAGUAAACAAUUUGUUAAAAUGAAAUCAAACACCUAAGUACCAGUUUAAAAUGUAGGUUCAUUCUACCUAGCAUUUUAAUAGUAUAACUUUCUGCCAAUAUGUAGAAUACAGUAAAUCCCCUAAAGCAUGAAUGUUAAUUCAUUGCUACAUAGUUUGGUUCUUGUGAAGUCUUUCGUCAUGUAGCUAUUAGACUGCAGCUGUGAAGAUUAUCAGAACUGUUAACUGAGACCAAUAUUUGUUUAGAGAAAAUCCUCUCCUGAAGAACCAACCAAAGUCUUUUCAGCCCAGUAGUUUGAAUGGGUUUGUCUGCUUGCACUAGCUGUGCCUUCCAUUACCUUGUUAGAGAAGUGGCAGUGACUUGUACUAACUAGGAGAUGAUGCAUUUUUGGAUUUGACUACUUCAGAAGAUUAGUAUAAUUCAUUUAACUUCCAGCAAGACCACAUUAAAUGUUCAUAACUGUCUGCUUGUUUCUGCUAUGGGUUUUGUAUUUUAUGUGACAGCGAUCUACAAAAGAAACCUAGUAAUCAUAUUAAGGUUAUUGUUUACCACUGGGGUGUGAAUAAAACCUAGUAUUUUCAGAA